CACCGCGGGUUAUACGAGAGGCCCUAGUUGAUAAGAACGGCGUUAAAGGGUGGUUAGAGGAGUACAAAAAUAAAGCUGAAGGACCCUCUGGCCGUUAUACGCUUCCAGGUACCCGAAACCCGAACACGAAAGUAGCUUUAAUUUAGACCACUUGACCCCACGAAAACUGAGGAACAAACUGGGAUUAGAUACCCCACUAUG
rnacentral:rRNA from 1 species